rnacentral:rRNA from 1 species
GAUCCUGGCUCAGGAUGAACGCUAGCGGCAGGCUUAACACAUGCAAGUCGAGGGGCAGCGCGUUGUAGCAAUACGAUGGCGGCGACCGGCGAAAGGGUGCGUAACGCGUGAGCAACCUGCCCGUAUCCGGGACAUAAGCGGUGGAAACGCCGUCUAAUUUCCCAUAACAACGAGGGCCGCAUGGUCCAUGUUUGAAAGAUGCGUCGGAUACGGAUGGGCUCGCGAGACAUUAGCUAGUCGGCGUGGUAACGGCACACCGAGGCGACGAUGUCUAGGGGUUCUGAGAGGAAGGUCCCCCACACUGGAACUGAGACACGGACCAAACUCCUACGGGAGGCAGCAGUGAGGAAUAUUGGUCAAUGGGCGCGAGCCUGAACCAGCCAAGUAGCGUGCAGGACGACUGCCCUAUGGGUUGUAAACUGCUUUUAUGCGGGGAUAAAGUGCCGUACGUGUACGGUAUUGCAGGUACCGCAUGAAUAAGGACCGGCUAAUUCCGUGCC